rnacentral:tRNA from 1 species
AUUUAAGUAGCUUAUAUAAGAGCAUAGUAUUGAAGAUACUAAGGAAAUUUUUGAUUCUUAAAUA